rnacentral:rRNA from 1 species
AGAGUUUGAUCCUGGCUCAGAAUCAACGCUGGCGGCGUGCCUAACACAUGCAAGUCGAACGAGAAAGUGGAGCAAUCCAUGAGUAAAGUGGCGACCGGGUGAGUAACACGUGACUAACCUACCUUCGAGUGGGGGAUAACCUCGGGAAACCGAGGCUAAUACCGCAUAACAUCGCAAGAUCAAAGCAGCAAUGCGCUGGAAGAGGGGGUCGCGGCUGAUUAGCUAGUUGGCGGGGUAACGGCCCACCAAGGCGAAGAUCGGUAUCCGGCCUGAGAGGGCGCACGGACACACUGGAACUGAAACACGGUCCAGACUCCUACGGGAGGCAGCAGUGGGGA